GAUAUUUUCUUCUAUGGCAGUGUUCAAAUCUAUUUGAAUUAUGCUUACAAUAGCAGCACAUAUGGACUAUGAAAUCUGAUAAAUGAAUAUGAAAUAGCUUUUCUAAAUAGAGAGCUAGAAGAAGAGGUGUAUAUAAUAUAAUCUGAAAGAUUCACAUCCACAGAUAAAUCUAAGGUAUGCAAGCUUCAGAGAUCCAUCUAUGGAUUGAAGCAGACAUCUC
rnacentral:lncRNA from 1 species